rnacentral:tRNA from 1 species
GCCCAGGUGGCGAAAUUGGUAGACGCACAAGACUUAAAAUCUUGCGGUGGUAACACCGUGCCGGUUCGAUUCCGGCCCUGGGCACCA